UACGUAGGGUGCGAGCGUUAAUCGGAAUUACUGGGCGUAAAGCGUGCGUAGACGGUUAUGUAAGUCGGGUGUGAAAGCCCCGGGCUCAACCUGGGAAUGCCAUUCGAGACUGCAUAGCUAGGGUGCGGAAGAGGGAAGCGGAAUUUCAGGUGUAGCGGUGAAAUGCGUAGAUAUCUGAAGGAACACCAGUGGCGAAAGCGGCUUCCUGGUCCAGCACCGACGUUCAGGCACGAAAGCGUGGGGAGCAAACAGG
rnacentral:rRNA from 1 species